UACGGGGGGGGCAAGCGGUUGUUCGGAAUUACUGGGCGUAAAGGGCUCGUAGGUGGCCAACUAAGUCAGACGUGAAAUCCCUCAGCUUAACUGGGGAACUGCGUCUGAUACUGGAUGGCUUGAGUUUGGGAGAGGGAUGCGGAAUUCCAGGUGUAGCGGUGAAAUGCGUAGAUAUCUGGAGGAACACCGGUGGCGAAGGCGGCAUCCUGGACCAACACUGACACUGAGGAGCGAAAGCCAGGGGAGCAAACAGG
rnacentral:rRNA from 1 species